UGAUGACUGUUCAACACAAAGAUGAGUCCUU
rnacentral:piRNA from 1 species